rnacentral:tRNA from 6 species
AGUCGCGUAACUCAGUUGGUUAGAGUGCCAGCAUGACAUGCUGGAAGUCGUCAGUUCAAAUCUGACCGUGACUACCA